AGCCAAGGCAUUUGGAGGAGUUUGUGGCACUCUGAAUUUUUUUUUAAGAUAGGGCAGAAGAAUAGAGGGAAGAGGGAACAGAGGGAACAAACAAGGAGAUAGAGGAGCAGUUGCUUGAAGGCCGGGCAUGCACACCUCAAAGGGACUGUGGCUCGUGGAGCAGAUGAACAGCAAGUCGACGACAAGUUUGUGUUGAAAGUUACAAUGCUUUAAAGGACAUAUGAUCUGCUGUGCUUUUCAAAAUCCCCAAAUAGUUAUCAAUGUUUUUGUUUGUCUUGGAACUGCAAUUUUCUAUGAAAAAAAGCCUGGUUUAGUCAAGAUAAGGGACCAAAACCAUACUAGAUUGCCAACAUUCUUGAGGAAACCCCCAUUGUUCUGCUUUGUGCUUGACAUUGAACUGGGCAGGUGUGUCCACAUAAGGUGCAACAGGGAGGAUUUGCAUGCUGGCUUGCUGAAGUGACAGAAUUGUGCAAAAUAACUGCAGUGGUCUGGCAAGCUUCAGGAAGCAGGUGGAUCUGAGGUACCUGUCUCCA
rnacentral:lncRNA from 1 species